UACAGAGGGUGCAAGCGUUGUUCGGAAUUAUUGGGCGUAAAGCGCGUGUAGGCGGCUUAGCAAGUCGGGCGUGAAAGCCCUCGGCUCAACCGAGGAAGUGCACCCGAAACUGCUGAGCUUGAGUGCCGGAGAGGAUGGCGGAAUUCCCCAAGUAGAGGUGAAAUUCGUAGAUAUGGGGGAGGAACACCGGUGGCGAAGGCGGCCAUCUGGACGGUAACUGACGCUGAGACGCGAAAGCGUGGGUAGCAAACAGG
rnacentral:rRNA from 1 species